UAUAGUAUGUGCAAUGCAAUAAAUCAUAGGUCAAUAAGUUACAACAUAAGUGGCGAUGAUUCUAAAAACAGAGAAUUUCACAGGAGGGUUCAAACACAUAUUAUCUCAGUCAAGUAAUUGUUAUAGCUGAUGAAAGUACUAAUUUAAAGUAUUUGAACAUACUAAAUUCAAAUACACAUUUUGAAAUACCUGGGUAAAAUGCAUAGGAGUUCAUUUGGGUGUAUUCAAAUAUGUUACAUAAUUGCAAUGUUUUUUGUCCCUAAAUAUUUUACUCUUCAUUUUAUACCAACAUUCUUUUGAAUGGCUUUUAAAGUGACUUAUAUAACCUUCAUAGUAUGUGAAGUGAACCCAAGGCUGCAAAUAACAGGUUGAUGAGCCUGAGGCAUGGAAAGUAUACAAUGAGGUGUGUGUGUUUCUGUGUGUGUUUGUUCAGACAAAUAUGUGGGUAAUGGUUGUGUACAUUUUGUGGCAGUUGGCUACAGAAAGAGGAUAAAAGACGAAUGAAGACGCACAAUUUCAGCUAACGUGGUUUACACAGAGAGGCCCAGAAACCACAUCAAACCACAUCAGCUUUCAACCAAAACACCCAUCCUUGAAUUCUGAGACCAAUGAGGACCCUGAGUGUGUUAAUGUUGCUGGUUCUGGUGGGUGUCAUAGUAGCAGGAUCAUUCACUGACAGCCUGACCCAAGAUGCUGAGCUGCAGGAGUCUGACAGAAGGGAGGACCAGCCUCUUCAAAUGAUAUGACACAAAGCCAUGGGGGAGCAGAGGGACUAUAUACACAGACACUGAUGAGGGGAUAUGAACCAGGUGUGUGUGAUAACAAGACUAAUGGAACGAUGAGUGGAGAGACGGUAGAAGCUAGAAUGCCAAAGCCGGAACACCGGGAGGAGGCAGCAUCGGAGGGUGUCGUGACAACUUGUUACACUUGGCAAUAAUAAAUCCAACUCUGCCGCAGUCACUCAAGUGGUCCAAGUGGGUUCUGGGACCUUUAUGUUUUCUGUAUACAUGCUGCCAAUAGUAAAAUCAAUA